GAAAAAAAAAAAACUCACAUUAGAAUUGGUCUCUAACAAGAACACCAAGCACUUGGAGUAUUUAUGAAAAUCUCACUGUAGCACACUAGACAGCCCAGCAAGUAGUCCACUACUUAUGAAAUAACAAGUAUUAUUGUGUGGGUAUGGAAUUUGUACUUUAUGUAGCAUAGCAUGAAAUAACCAGUCUCAUGUAGGAAAUAGGAACAAAACUAGAAAUUCCUAGGAUGCAAUUAACCAAUAAUAAUAAAUUUCCAAAUUCAGUCAAGUAAACAUGAAAAAAUAUAAGUACCCAAUCAAAUUGGAGAAUUCCUUUUAACUGGGAAAAUUGAAGGAUGUUGGGAUAUCUUAAUAAUUAAGACUGCCCAUUAGUGAAAUCCAAGGAUAAGAUUUAAACUCAAAUAAGCCUUAAUCCCAAACUGAUUGGGUUGGCACUAUGGAUUUUUUUCCCCCCCUUCCAUUCAACCUAGCUUUCAGCUACAUCUUCAGAAAAAUCUAGAGCCUCUACUAUUUCACUACUUCUCCCCAUGUCAUCUUCUGUCUUAGGAUAAGAUUUAAAAAGGGGGAAAAAUAACUCCAUGCAAAAAGGUUUAAAGGUUUCCUACUAUUUUGGGCGUGCAAACGCAAUGUUGAUAAGACAUUUCUGAGGAUAACCCACCUCUUAGCAAUCAACUUAAUUCGGAAUAGAGAAAAGCUCUUGAAGUUGAAACUAAAUCCAACUACUAAAUACUGUCCUUUCCUUUAUUGUAUCUUCACGAGGACAAGGGAAUCAUAUAGAAGAACACGUAUAUUAGUAACAAGUAACAAACAAGUGUAGAAAAACUGUAUCUAAAUUGCAGGUUUUAAGAGACAAUAAAGCAAAGGACAGUAAUCAAUGAAUGUAAUGCUCAUAAUAGAAUUUUGUAAGGAGAUGAAUGAAGAUAGGAAUCAUAACAAAUAGAUAAAUAAAUAAGAUUCUAACCUCUGACAAGAGUUGGGUGGAGCUCCCUAGAUGAUUCCCACUGAUAUAAUUUGCCCUGCUUCCAUUACUUGCCAACUCCCCUCUACUACGACCAUUCACCGUCGAACUUCUCCUCUCAUUCUUUGUUGCAAGUGCGACUCUUUUUGUAGCCUCUUGCAAAGCACUUACUGCCACAUUGUACGUGUCUAGGGACUUGGAACCUUCAUCUACAAAUUUGAAGGCCUCAUGGCGUAGGGUAUUAUAUCGAACUGUGUGAGAUUCCAGAUAAUUAGCAUAUACAUCAGUAGAACGUUCUUCCAAUAUAACACUACUCUUGGCAUUCCUCGUCCAUCUUUUCAAAAUAUAAUGUGAUGGGAGAGUAAGCACAUUUGUCACUCUAAAGACUGCCAAAACAUGUCUGCAAAGAAGACCUGAGAACUCAAACAUCUGGCAACUACAAGUUGCCUUCAUCUCUAAAACAUUGAAUUUAACAUAGUAUGCUUUAUGAUCUUCCCCAUACUUUGCAACUUGAUAUGUAAUGCUUUCUCCAUCAUCUUCGGCUUUAGAUGCCAUGAAAGUUAAUGUCCCAACUAGCUCCUCUUGAAAUCUCAUAAAUAAUUUUCUAGUAUAAAGCUCAGAUGCUUGUUUCUCCAUGGGAGAUGGGGUCUUCAAAACUGGUGAAGUAUUCAUUGUAUCAUAAUCUGCUUUCACUUCUUUCUCAUUUCGACUCUCUAGAGAUUUUUCAUACAGCUUAAAAAACUGGUUCAGAUUGGUUGAAGCAUUGACAUAACCAUCAAAGUACGAGUUCAUGCUAUCGCUUCGCUGGGUUAUGGACAUCUCUGCAAAAAAUGUGUCCCGCAAAUAUACUGGGACCCACUGCCUGCGAGCAGAAUAUAUUGUUUGAAGCCAUUCAUGAUCCCGGAGAUCAUAUCUAUCAACAAGUGACAACCAGCAAGAUUCAAAUUCCUCAAUUGACUCGGUCAAAUUAACACAUUUAUGAAAGUCCGCCUCAAAGUUUGGGUGUUUCAGAAACACAUGUGACAGCUUCUCCUGGCAUUUCUUAAAGAUAUGCCAUUUGCAAAAGCGAUGGCGAGUGUCUGGGAAAACCUGCAUGAUGGCUGAUCUUAUCACUGCGUCAUGAUCAGUGGUGAUUGACACUGGAUGGCGGCCAGACAUUGCUGUAAGCCAUGUAUUGAACAGCCAGACAAAGGAGGCUUCAGUUUCAUUUAUUAGGAAAGCACAACCAAACAAAACAGGCUGUCCAUGAUGAUUGACCCCUGUGAAUGGAGCAAAGGGCAACCGAUACCUGUUGGACCGGUAGGUUGUGUCAAAUGUAACAGUGUCACCAAAAUAAGUGUAGUUUGUCCUGGCCUUUGGAUCAGCCCAGAACACAUUACCGGAAUACUGCUCUUCAUCCCCCUGCACAGCAUAAAAGAAAUUGGGAUUCUCAUUAUGCAUUUGCCUCAAAUAGUCCAAAAGCAGCUGGAUAUCUCCUUCUAAACUCCUCUGGCGAUUAUUUCUCAUGUAAUUCCGACAAUCAACCUCUGUAAAACCAACUUUACUAAUUCCACCAUACUCCUUUAUCAAGGCAGACAUAAUUCUACGAGGGCCCAUACCAGCAGCCUGCAAUGUAUCAAUCAAGGUCUUAGCAGGACCAGAUAUUUGUCUAUGAGAACGGAGGCAGUGCACCUGAUCAGGUGGGACCAGCUCAUGGUUGUGUUCUCUAACAAAGCCAGACACAACCCAUUUCCCAGAAUCCUGCAUUUUCACAGACAAAGAUGCUUUGCAACCAACUCUAGUAAUGGUGCGGGGGCGCUUAAUCUCUCUAUCUUUAGUGCGCUUCUCAUUCAAAUUCCUAAACCCUUCUUUGGCACAGACAAAUUGCCUCUGUAUAAUAGCUCCAUCACGCCUAGAACGUCUGGAUGAGCUGACGCGGGUACUAAAACCCACACGCCUGGCAUAUGAAUUGUAGAAGGCCUUGGCAGCCUCUUCAGACUCAAAUUCCAUGCCUUCAUAAGGUUCAAGAUCCAAAAGGUCACCCUCAGGAAGGAAAAUUUCACCACUACCAGCACCAGUAAGAGAAACAGUGGUAGAAGGAGGAGUAUCAGGCAUGUCUUCAUCAUCAACAGGGUGCUCAAUGUCUACUGCAUCAUCAUCAACACCUCCACUUGCACCUCCUAAGCCUAUAUCAAAUUCAAGCACUUCGUUUUCCAUCCUAUCCUAUGAAUUCAACUCCAAACCUCAAUUACAAUGCGAAUUAUACGUGCAAAACAGUAUAAUCUCACAAUCUAAUGGUAAUUACAGUAAAUAAGCUGAAGGGAAGAACUGACCUUUUAUUAAUCCAACUGCCAAUAAUCCACACUGAAAGAAUUACAGAAAAGAGAGAAUCUUUGCAGGUAAAGAUUUUUAGGGUUUCUGGAGAAGAAAAUGAAUUCAGAGAAACCCUAGAGUUAUUCUCCUUUGUGGGAAUUGUUUAAAGAGACCAUGGAAUUCUGUGGACGAUACAGAAAAUUUUCAUUUCAGUUUUUCAAAGGGAUCGAUCGAGCUCGAGCGUGGCGGAUUUUGGGUUCACUUGAAGGCUCUGUUCUUCUAUUCUUUUU
rnacentral:misc_RNA from 1 species